UGUGUAAACGCAGUCUCUGGCUCAGCGAGAACAGUGGUUGAAUUCAAAUCACAUUUGAUUUGUUACGUGCUUAGUCUACACCUGUGGUUUACUAACAGUGAACUGCUUGGUAAACAACAGGUGUAGGCUAACAGUGAACUGCUUGGUAAACAACAGGUGUAGGCUAACAGUGAACUGCUUGGUAAACAACAGGUGUAGGCUAACAGUGAACUGCUUGGUAAACAACAGGUGUAGGCUAACAGUGAACUGCUUGGUAAACAACAGGUGUAGGCUAACAGUGAACUGCUUGGUAAACAACAGGUGUAGGCUAACAGUGAACUGCUUGGUAAACAACAGGUGUAGGCUAACAGUGAACUGCUUGGUAAACAACAGGUGUAGGCUAACAGUGAACUGCUUGGUAAACAACAGGUGUAGGCUAACAGUGAACUGCUUGGUAAACAACAGGUGUAGGCUAACAGUGAACUGCUUGGUAAACAACAGGUGUAGGCUAACAGUGAACUGCUUGGUAAACAACAGGUGUAGGCUAACAGUGAACUGCUUGGUAAACAACAGGUGUAGGCUAACAGUGAACUGCUUGGUAAACAACAGGUGUAGGCUAACAGUGAACUGCUUGGUAAACAACAGGUGUAGGCUAACAGUGAACUGCUUGGUAAACAACAGGUGUAGGCUAACAGUGAAAUGCUUUCUGACGGGUCCUUUUAAGAUCAAUAGAAAUAGUGACGCAAGGAAUAAAUACAGUGAAUAACAAUAACAGGUAAAACGAACAUGGCUGUAUACAGGGAGUUCCAGGUAGUAACAUGGCUAUAUACAGGAAGUACCAGGUAGUAACAUGGCUAUAUACAGGAAGUACCAGGUAGUAACAUGGCUAUAUACAGGAAGUACCAGGUAGUAACGUGGCUAUAUACAGGGAGUACCAGGUAGUAACGUGGCUAUAUACAGGGAGUUCCAGGUAGUAACGUGGCUAUAUACAGGGGUUCCAGGUAGUAACGUGGCUAUAUACAGGAAGUACCAGGUAAUAACGUGGCUAUAUAC